rnacentral:rRNA from 1 species
AUGUCAUAUGCAUAUUUGUGUAGGUGUGUUAUAUUGUCAAUCAGAAUGUUGGGUAAUUUUUUGAUGCGCAAACGUAGAGAAGAUGAUGAAUUAGCUAUCAUCGAAGCUUUGUAUGCUAAUGAUAGAAGCUCGGCCAACCACACACGUAUACAUACAUCCAUCCUUACGGGAGAUCGGUACGUGCGAGAAGUUCUAGAAGGUCAUGAAUUGAGAUGCAAACGAGAUUUUCGGAUGGAGCAGUAUAUUUUUCGUAACUUAGUCCAGUGCCUUCGAGAAAGAUGCCAUCUAAGAGAUAUAAAUUUUGUCUCAGUGGAAGAACAAGUAGGCAUAUUUUUAUAUGCCGUUUCAAAGAAUGCAACCAAUCGUACACUCCAAGGGCAAUUUCAGCAUAGUGGUGAGGUCAUAAGUCGCUAUUUCCGUAUUGUGUUUAACGCCCUCAUGAUAUUGACAGGAAGUAUAAUAUAG